CUGCCCAAUGAUUUUAUAUUAUUUGGCUGCAAAAUUUUAAUUGUACAAAGGUAGCAUAAUAAUUUGUUUUUUAAUUAAAAACUAGUAUAAAUGAUUUAAUAAAAUAUAAACUAUUUUAAUUAAAUAAAUAUUUAAAUUUUUAUUUAAGUAAAAAAACUUAAAUUUAAUUAAAAGACGACAAGACCCUAUAGAAUUUAAUUUUUUAAAUUAAUUAAAUAAUUAAUUUAUUAAAUAAUUAAUUAUUAAAAAUUUAAUUGGGGUAAUUAAAAAAUUAAAUAAAUUUUUUUAAAAAAAAACAAUAAUUAUUGAAAAAAAAAUCUUAUUAUAUAAAUUAUUAAAAUUAAUUACCUUAGGGAUAACAGCAUAAUUUUUUUUAAAAGUUCUUAUUAAUAAAAAAGAUUAUGACCUCGAUGUUGAAUUAAGAUAAAAUUAAAAUGAAAAAAUUUAAAAUUUAAGUCUGUUCGACU
rnacentral:rRNA from 1 species